UACAGAGGGGGCAAGCGUUGUUCGGAAUUACUGGGCGUAAAGGGCGCGUAGGCGGCCUGCUAAGUCGAACGUGAAAUCCCCGGGCUCAACCCGGGAACUGCGUCCGAUACUGGCAGGCUCGAAUCCGGGAGAGGGAUGUGGAAUUCCAGGUGUAGCGGUGAAAUGCGUAGAUAUCCGGAGGAAUACCAGUGGCGCAAGCGGCGCUCUGGGUCGAGCCUGACACUGAGACGCGAAGGCAUGGGGAGCGAACGGG
rnacentral:rRNA from 1 species